CUCGCCCGUGGCAGGCCCGCUGUGUCUGUGGGCUGGCUGCGCACGUGGCUCGCUGUCCCGCCGCAAGGACCGCCCGCGAGAGCUGCUAGGGGCCGGCUCGUCCCCUCGGCAGAACGGCAGUGACCCGGGGCAGGGCGCCCUGUCCCGAAGCACCUCGUGGUGCACACGGUCCGAAGCGCCCUGGCCUCUCCUGCUCGGGGCGCACGCUGGAAAGCCUUUCCCCUCUGUGAGGAGGGGCCUGCCUAUCCCAGAAGCGUUCCGAGGCUCUCCUGGGGAUGCUUCCAGCCCCUCCUUCCCUGGCGCAGCGUGGACCUUCCUUUCUCUGACCAUGCGAGGCACUGGCCCCUCAGCGCCGGGCAGACAGAGCUCGGCUUCCCUCUGAAACGACUCCAGGUCUGAGAAGACGUUUCCCGGGAAGCCCGCAGCCUGGUGCGUAUCCCGCAGCAGCACGAGGCCGCUCUCGGCACUGCCGCGUCCUGGGCGCGCCUGCUUCUGCCUAAAUCCAGCACCCGGGAAGACAGGGCUCUGGCAACGUGAUGGAGGAGCUGCUCUUCUGGGCGUCCAGAAUGCAGGUUACCAGCACCGCAGACGGACACCACGUCUACCUCCACCCUCACCCGGGUGUGGGAGGCGGGAAGGAGCCCCACUGGCCACACCAAGAGGCCUUGUGUGUGUGGCCCUCGGGUCCAUAAGCCUGGGUGCUCUAGGAUGUCAGUGACCUUCACGGCAGUGAGCUCAGAAUCACCAGCCCCUUCCUCCUACCUCCACCCAGGGACCCCUUGACUUGAAAACUUCUCAUGUGGGCCUCCCCGAGCUUGGCCAGCUGGCUGUGAGGCUCCGGGGUUUCAGCCCAAUCAUCAAACGUAAAUACAGAGCCCUGUGGGUCCUCUCAGUGAACACCACUCCCCAAAAAAGCAAGGCGGGGGCCCUGCCAAUUUAGUUAGGAGGAAGACUGCAGUUUAGUUUAGCUUUGUUGUAUCUGGCUUUUUGGUCACAGGCCCAGUUAUCACCUUCCAGAAUCUUCCUCCCCCUAAACUGCAGCUGAGUUCUGAGGUUCACAAGUUCUCAGGGAAACCAACACUGGCUAUGAAGACCUGAAAGUUUUUUUUUUUUUCUUUCAUUAAGUAAUCUCUUUAAUGUCUGUUUAUGGUCAGGCGCAGUCUGUAGCUUCACAUAGCAAUGUCUGAUUAAACGAUGCCCAAUCUAUCCUGGGGCAAUAGACAGAUAA